rnacentral:rRNA from 1 species
ACAGAGGUGGCAAGCGUUGUUCGGAUUUAUUGGGCGUAAAGGGUCCGUAGGCGGCCUGAAAAGUUGGAUGUGAAAUCCCACAGCUUAACUGUGGAACUGCAUUCAAAACUUUCAGGCUCGAGUGUGAUAGGGGUAAAGGGAAUUCCCGGUGUAAGGGUGAAAUCUGCAGAGAUCGGGAGGAACACCAGUCGCGAAGGCGCUUUACUGGAUCACUACUGACGCUGAGGGACGAAAGCCAGGGGAGCAAACGG